GAUGAACGCUGGCGGCGUGCUUAACACAUGCAAGUCGAACGAGAAGUGGAGACGGAAACCUUCGGGCGGAAGACUUUAUUUCGAGUGGCGGACGGGUGAGUAACGCGUGGGUAACCUGCCUCAUACAGGGGGAUAACAGUUGGAAACGACUGUUAAUACCGCAUAAGACCACAGCACCGCAUGGUGCGGGGGUAAAAACUCCGGUGGUAUGAGAUGGACCCGCGUUCGAUUAGCCAGUUGGCGGGGUGACGGCCCACCAAAGCGACGAUCGAUAGCCGAUCUGAGAGGAUGACCGGCCACAUUGGGACUGAGACACGGCCCAAACUCCUACGGGAGGCAGCAGUGGGGAAUAUUGCACAAUGGGGGAAACCCUGAUGCAGCGACGCCGCGUGAGUGAAGAAGUAUUUCGGUAUGUAAAGCUCUAUCAGCAGGGAAGAAAAUGACGGUACCUGAGUAAGAAGCCCCGGCUAACUACGUG
rnacentral:rRNA from 1 species